rnacentral:Y_RNA from 1 species
GGCUGUUCCAAAGGUAGUGGAUUAUCUCAACUGAUUGUUCACAGUCAGUUACAGGUUGAACUCCCUGUUCUACUCUUUCCCCACUUCUGACUAGUGCACUUGACUAGUCCAAA